GACAGAGUAGAUCCAGCGCGUCAAGUGCCAUCGGAUGGGAGGUUGCCGAUGGACGAAGGGACCCUUCCCGCGUUGCUGUAUCGCAUCCGCUGCC
rfam:Ruminococcaceae bacterium D16 genomic scaffold acsPy-supercont2.2, whole genome shotgun sequence.